GACGAACGCUGGCGGCGUGCUUAACACAUGCAAGUCGAACGAUGAACCCGGAGCUUGCUCCGGCGGAUUAGUGGCGAACGGGUGAGUAACACGUGAGUAACCUGCCCUUGACUCUGGGAUAACUGCUAGAAAUGGUAGCUAAUACCGGAUACGACCCUCGGUGGCAUCACCAGGGGGUGGAAAGAAUUUCGGUCAAGGAUGGACUCGCAGCCUAUCAGCUUGUUGGUGGGGUGAUGGCCUACCAAGGCGACGACGGGUAGCCGGCCCGAGAGGGUGACCGGCCACACUGGGACUGAGACACGGCCCAGACGCCUACGGGAGGCAGCAGUGGGGAAUAUUGCACAAUGGGCGCAAGCCUGAUGCAGCAACGCCGCGUGAGGGAGGACGGCCUUCGGGUUGUAAACCUCUUUUAGUAGGGAAGAAGCGAAAGUGACGGUACCUGCAGAAAAAGCACCGGCUAACUACGUGCCAGCCGCCGCCGUAA
rnacentral:rRNA from 1 species